GCCAACGACCAUACUACGCUGAAUACAUCGGUUCUCGUCCGAUCACCGAAAUUAAGCAGCGUCGGGCGCGGUUAGUACUUAGAUGGGGGA
rnacentral:rRNA from 1 species